GUCUAUGGUCAUGCUACCCUGAACAAGCCGGUUACUGUCUGAUCUCAGAAGCUAAGCAGGGUCGGGCUUGGUUAGUACUUGGAUGGGAGACCACCUAGGAAGACCAGGUGCUGCAGGCU
rnacentral:rRNA from 1 species